UCAGAGGAAACCGAACGUUCCACUUGCGUCAACACUGAAAUAAUCGCAUCGUAUGCUCCGAUCUAGCGAAGCUUUAGCGCUCGUCUAUCCGGGAUUCAUGGGCGUGGUGUCAUGCGUAACAACGGAAAGAGUUAACCAGUUAAACGGUGCGCCCCUCGGCUGGCUUUUCAGCCACCCUGGGUUCGCCCUCCGCUGCGGUACCCAUUCAUCGAAUUCCCAGAAUCGAAGAGUGUCUGUUAAGAUACACGAUGCGAAGGGGAGGACGCGCUUCGCUCCUCUCCCUCGUCGCGCGGCGCAACCGUGCAGAGAUUCUUUGGAACCUCUACAAAGCUUCAAGCCCAGUGAAUUUCCACGUGUGGUUCUGUAUAAGAACCAGACGAUUCUGCGAAAGCGAUCAAGACAUCUUUACUCUCUCCGAGUAGCCAAGUUUUGCCGGCGCGUUUGCUGAAAGCUUUUGCGUGGGAGUUUUGCGGAGAUACAGGGAGGAGGUGUCAUAGUCGUAGCAACGAUCAAAUAGCGACACGGUGUCAUAAGGACGAGAUCAUCUUGUCACUCUCGUCGCAGUGAGUUUCGAGUUGGUUGUCAGUGUGUGUCGUUCGUUGCGACGAGUAUCGUGCGCGUGUCGUGUCCGCGCGGCGGCGCGGCGGCAGCGGCAGCGGCAGCGACUGCGGCAGCGGCGGCGGCGGCGGCGGCGGCAGCUGCGAUGAUGCUUUCAAGCUAUUGUCCGUUUUUCUUUUUUUUUGCGAUAGAAAUCAUUGGCGAAGCGCGCGCGCGUCGGUGUUUCUCUCUUUCGUCGCGAGAAAGCACACGCGCGCGCAUAUACGUAGUGAGAACAAAGUAAUAGAACACAAGGGUAAAUCAAGAUAAAUUGAUACGAACUGAAAAUAAAUCGUAAGCGAAAAAGAGAGACAAUAAACAGUUACGGACUCUAAAGAUAUACAUGUAAAUAUAUAUGCACGGUGGUCUGUUCUUGCGUGUUAGUUGGUUUAAAGGGUGACGAAGGGAAUGAGGGAGCGAGGA